UACGUAGGGCGCAAGCGUUGUCCGGAAUUAUUGGGCGUAAAGAGCUCGUAGGCGGCCUGUUGCGUCCGCUGUGAAAUCCCGGGGCUCAACCCCGGGCCUGCAGUGGAUACGGGCUGGCUGGAGGCAGGCAGGGGAGAACGGAAGUUCCUGGUGUAGCGGUGAAAUGCGCAGAUAUCAGGAGGAACACCGGUGGCGAAGGCGGUUCUCUGGGCCUGUACUGACGCUGAGGAGCGAAAGCGUGGGGAGCGAACAGG
rnacentral:rRNA from 1 species